rnacentral:rRNA from 1 species
AGAGUUUGAUCCUGGCUCAGGAUGAACGCUAGCUACAGGCUUAACACAUGCAAGUCGAGGGGCAGCAUGAAGGUAGCUUGCUACCUUUGAUGGCGACCGGCGCACGGGUGAGUAACGCGUAUCCAACCUGCCCGCUACUCGGGUAUAGCCCAGUGAAAACUGGAUUAAUCCCCGAUGGCAUCUUACGCUGACAUCAAAGUAAGAUUAAAGGUUACGGUAGCGGAUGGGGAUGCGUCCGAUUAGCUAUGUUGGCGGGGUAACGGCCCACCAAGGCGACGAUCGGUAGGGGUUCUGAGAGGAAGGUCCCCCACAUUGGAACUGAGACACGGUCCAAACUCCUACGGGAGGCAGCAGUGAGGAAUAUUGGUCAAUGGACGAGAGUCUGAACCAGCCAAGUAGCGUGCAGGAUGACGGCCCUAUGGGUUGUAAACUGCUUUUAUCAGGGAAUAAAGUGCGGCACGUGUGCCGUUUUGUAUGUACCUGACGAAUAAGGACCGGCUAAUUCCGUGCCAGCAGCCGCGGUAAUACGGAAGGUCCGGGCGUUAUCCGGAUUUAUUGGGUUUAAAGGGAGCGUAGGCCGGAUAUUAAGCGUGUUGUGAAAUGCAGGUGCUCAACGUCUGCACUGCAGCGCGAACUGGUAUCCUUGAGUGCGCUGGAAGUCGGCGGAAUUCGUCGUGUAGCGGUGAAAUGCUUAGAUAUGACGAAGAACUCCGAUUGCGAAGGCAGCUGACUGUAGCGUUACUGACGCUGAAGCUCGAAGGUGCGGGUAUCGAACAGGAUUAGAUACCCUGGUAGUCCGCACGGUAAACGAUGGAUGCUCGGUGUUCGCCCAAUUGAGGGUGAGUGACUUAGGGAAACCGUUAAGCAUCCCACCUGGGGAGUACGCCGGCAACGGUGAAACUCAAAGGAAUUGACGGGGGCCCGCACAAGCGGAGGAACAUGUGGUUUAAUUCGAUGAUACGCGAGGAACCUUACCCGGGCUCGAACGGCAUGUGAAGAGAUCCAGAGAUGGUGACGCCCUUCGGGGCACAUGUCGAGGUGCUGCAUGGUUGUCGUCAGCUCGUGCCGUGAGGUGUCGGCUCAAGUGCCAUAACGAGCGCAACCCUUGCCGUCAGUUGCCAUCAGGUAAAGCUGGGGACUCUGGCGGGACUGCCACCGCAAGGUGUGAGGAGGGGGGGGAUGACGUCAAAUCAGCACGGCCCUUACGUCCGGGGCGACACACGUGUUACAAUGGGGGGUACAGAAUGUUGCUUACGGGUGACCGUCGGCCAAUCAUUAAAUCCCCUCUCAGUUCGGACUGGAGUCUGCAACCCGACUCCACGAAGCUGGAUUCGCUAGUAAUCGCGCAUCAGCCAUGGCGCGGUGAAUACGUUCCCGGGCCUUGUACACACCGCCCGUCAAGCCAUGAAAGCCGGGGGCGCCUGAAGUCCGUUACCGCAAGGAUCGGCCUAGGGCGAAACUGGUAAUUGGGGCUAAGUCGUAACAAGGUAGCC